rnacentral:lncRNA from 1 species
GUAAAUAAUUAAUGUCAUUUCAUACUCAGUCAUUCAUAAGAUUACCAAUUCAAUGUAUGUGAUUAGUAUACUGAUAGAAAAAAAAAACAGUGUACAUUUUAGUAAUAGUUAGGUCACGUCGAGUUGUGUUAUAUAUUUAUUAUUGUUUAUUGAAUCUGUAGUUCUUCACACGUCCUCUUCUUUUUUCAUAUCGUUUUUAUAUGAUAUAUCAUUUGUAUAUAUGUAAGUAUAUAAUUAUAUGGGAGCAUUACUUUAAUUGCGUUUUGAGAAGUUUGUGUUAAUUUUAUACAAAAAUUGUAGUAACAAAAAGAAUAGCUGAUUGUUUACCUUUUGAACAACUUAUUUAUUAAGUCUAUAGGAUAACUAUUAACGAAAAUGGAGUAAAAAAGUCAAGAAGUGGCUCGUUUAGUCCGAAUAGUAUUUAUCCAUUCUGAUAUUGUAAAGAAUCUUAAUGUUUGCAGAACCACCGUCUGGAACAUCAGGGUUAUGUUCAUCAAUGGGGAAGACAUUAGUGAUUGUCAUAGAAGUGGAAGGCCGAACAAAUUAAAUCCUGAGAUGGCAAAAAAGCUUUUUUGAAAAAUCCGAAGAUAACCGACUUUGCGAAGAAUUGGUUGCUGAGCUGUUCCACGGUGCUCAAUGCUGUAGAAAAAGCUGGUAGCAAGUCUCUCUGAUAUAUUGAGCGGCCCUUGCUAACUUAACAACAACAACAAUUAAGAUUUGAUCGGUGCAAAAAGCAUUACAAUUUACUGGAGGUAUCACGGGAACCGAAUUUUGUUCUUCUUGGACGAAAAAAUAUUUACAGUGGUUCCCCUAAGCAAUAGAACAAAUGAUAGGGUCUUAUGUUUUGGAUAAGUCAACUACAGCCUCUGUGAAGUGUCCACCACCAAACAUCCGGCCUCAGUAAUGAUACUCGGCAUUGUUUCAUCUGAAGGUCACAAAAUGAAGUCAAUUUUUUCCCUGUUGGAUACAGAUUGACUACCAAGUAUUAUUUGAUGAUUUUGCAGACAAAAGUGCUUCCUUAGGUUCGCAAAUUCACAAAGCAAUCCAAAAUAGCUGAUUAUUGCUUUCAACAGGACUCCUGCACAUACGGUAAAAGUCGUAGAGGAUUGGAUUGCCAAAAAAUGAAGUUUUGGCAAAAGUACUUCUGGCCAUUGCAGAGCCCUGGCCUGAAUUUCCUUGAUUACUGUAUCUAGUGGCAAAUUGAAAGCAAGGCCUUUAAACAACGUCACAGCUGUAUUGAGUCCCAAAAGCAAUCGGUUGAGAUAGAGUGACGAUCAAUGUCGAAUCACAACGUUGUCAACUUUUGCAAAGCGUUCCAGGGUUGCAUGGAGCGAGUGAUUGAGGCCAAAGAAUUUCAUUGAAAGCCGCUACCCGUAAUUAAUUGUUCAAAGCACAAACUUGGCCUCUCUUUCUCCAGAUAUAUUGUCAACUUUCUCAUCGAGUGGCAAAAAAGUAAAGCACCUGGCCUCACAGUAGAAACCUUCUUAGCAACAAACCAGACGUGCCUUGCCGCAGCAGAUCUGGCAGAGCAUCUUCUCCGAGAUGAAGACUUCUUCUUUUUACUUACUGGUCUGAUCCCGUCGAUAGAAGGUUCGGCUGGUACAGAAACUAAGUGGAGGUAUCUACUACAUCAGCGUAAGACAGAUCCUGGAAGCAGAGAAAAAUAUUCGUAUUCUGAGUCUUGUCAAAUUCUCAGGUAUGACUACUUUAGAAAUUACAACUCACCGGGUUAAAGACCUGGUAAAAGCUGAGCUCAUUUUGACUAACUGGCAACCAGAUGACCUCCAGGAACUAGCUUCUAAGGGAGAAAGUAAUGUUCUCUACUUUGUUGCUGGGCAUAUUUGUUUUUCUUUGAAGAAGAUCAGCUGUACAUCAUGCCAAGUGUUAAUGGUCGUCAGAGACACACCUCCGGACUCAAUAACCUUCGAUAGCGCAACCAAUCACCAUGUAGACCUGAAAAAGUUCAUCGACAUAAUGAGCAAAGGGGAGUUGUCGACUCUACCUCUCUUGUCUUUAUGCUCACUCCAUGUUCUCUUACAUCAAAGCUACUCCUGAAGAGAAAGACAGUUUACUUGGCACCCCAAAGCAUAUAGCUUCAUUUAUUGCCAAAUUCAUUGACAAGAUGCAGGACAGUUUAAACUCUGACAUUAUUGCCGUUGUGGGGGUAAAGUGCUACGAAUGAUACUCCUAGUCAGCUUUUCUUCAAAUAAUUUCAUUCGCUUUGUUUAAUGUCAUGGGUAAAAAGUUAAGUGCUAAACUGAAUGAUGACAUCCGAUUUUUAACAAAAAAGAAAAAUUUCAAUCAAAAUCUUCUGACUCGUACGUUUUGAUAGUUCAUUUUCUUUUUUAUAUGUUUUUAAUGUUUAUUUUGAUUAAAUUACUAAUGAAAUACCACUUCUAUUAGAAAUAUAUACCAUCAUUUUUAUUAUUUUGAUGAUUUUC